rnacentral:rRNA from 1 species
UCAAGCUAGUAAGGGCAUACGGUGGAUGCCUGGGCGCUAAGAGGCGAAGAAGGGCGUGGUAAGCUGCGAAAAGCCUCGGGGAGCCGCAAGCAGGCGUUGAUCCGGGGAUACCCGAAUGGGGCAACCCACCUGGAGUAAUAUCCAGGUACCCUGUACUGAACCCAUAGGUACAGGGGGCGAACCGGGGGAACUGAAACAUCUUAGUACCCCGAGGAAGAGAAAGCAAACGCGAUUCCCCUAGUAGCGGCGAGCGAAGAGGGAAGAGCCCAAACCUUAUGCAUGUAGAAGGCUGCAACCGUUGUGCAUAAGGGGUUGCGGGGCUUCCGGGAGCAGUUGCAGAUGCUCGACGAAAGCGAAGGCUGUAGGAGAACAGGACUGGAACGUCCGGCCAUAGGGGGUAAGAGCCCCGUAUCCGAAACGGCCUAAAGCUUUCGGGAAGGACCCCAAGUACCACGGGACACGAGGAAUCCCGUGGGAAUCCGGGAGGACCACCUUCCAAGGCUAAAUACUCCUUAGCGACCGAUAGCGCACUAGUACCGUGAGGGAAAGGUGAAAAGCACCCCGGGAGGGGAGUGAAAUAGAACCUGAAACCGUAUGCCCACAAGCAGUCAGAGCCCAGCACUCAACUGAUGUGAUCAGUUGAGGCAUGAAGAGGAAUGCUGGUCACAUGAGUUGAGUGCUGGGUGAUGGCGUACUUUUUGUAGAACGGGCCGGCGAGUUACGUUAACGAGCGAGGUUAAGGGGAAGACCCGGAGCCGGAGCGAAAGCGAGUCUGAAAAGGGCGUUAGUUCGUUGACGUAGACCCGAAACCGGGUGAUCUACCCAUGGGCAGGGUGAAGCGGGAUUAAACUCUCGUGGAGGCCCGAACCGACCGGCGUUGAAAAGUCGGCGGAUGACCUGUGGGUAGGGGUGAAAUGCCAAUCGAACCCGGAGAUAGCUGGUUCUCCCCGAAAUAGCUUUAGGGCUAGCCUCAAGGAAAGACUAACGGAGGUAGAGCACUGAUAAGGCUAGGGGCCUUACCAGGUUACCGAACCUUUUCAAACUCCGAAUGCCGUUAAGUCAACCUUGGGAGUCAGACUGCGGGUGCAAAGAUCCGUAGUCGAGAGGGAAACAGCCCAGACCAACAGCUAAGGUCCCCAAAGACGGGCUAAGUGGAGAAGGAUGUAGAGUUGCUUAAACAACCAGGAUGUUGGCUUAGAAGCAGCCAUCAUUUAAAGAGUGCGUAAUAGCUCACUGGUCGAGUGACUCUGCGCCGAAAAUGUAGCGGGGCUCAAGCCCGUUACCGAAGCUUUGGAUCCCGCGAGGGAUGGUAGGGGAGCGUUCUGCAGGCAGCGAAGGUGUACCGGAAGGAGCGCUGGAGUCUGCAGAAGUGAGAAUGCCGGCAUAAGUAAGCGAGAAGGCAGGUGAGAAUCCUGCCCGCCGAAAACCUAAGGGUUCCUGGGGAAGGCUCGUCCACCCAGGGUAAGUCGGGACCUAAGCCGAGGCGAAGAGCGUAGGCGAUGGGCAAUCGGUUGAAAUUCCGAUACCACCAAAGAGUCGUUAUUAGGAUGGGGUGACGCAGGAGGGUAGGCACAGCGCACGAUUGGAAGAGUGCGUCCAAGCCUGUAGGGCGUGAGGUAGGCAAAUCCGCCUCACAAAGAGCCUGAGAGGUGACGGGGAGCGAAAUUAAGUAGCGAACUGGCUGAGCCCAAACUGCCGAGAAAAGCCUCUAACGAGACUCUAGGUGCCCGUACCGCAAACCGACACAGGUAGGUGGGGAGAGGAUCCCAAGGCGCGCGAGCGAACCUUCGUUAAGGAACUCGGCAAAAUGACCCCGUAACUUCGGGAGAAGGGGUACCCCGUUAGGGUGACAGUAGAGCAUACUGGAGCCCGAGGGGGUCGCAGAGAAGUGGCCCAAGCGACUGUUUACCAAAAACACAGGUGCCUGCUAAAGCGCAAGCUGAAGUAUAGGUGCUGACGCCUGCCCGGUGCUGGAAGGUUAAGGGGAAGGGUUAGUCGAAAGGCGAAGCUCUGAACCGAAGCCCCAGUAAACGGCGGCCGUAACUAUAACGGUCCUAAGGUAGCGAAAUUCCUUGUCGGGUAAGUUCCGACCCGCACGAAAGGCGUAACGAUUUGGGCACUGUCUCAACGAAGGGCUCGGUGAAAUUGUAGUACCCGUGAAGAUGCGGGUUACCUGCGAUAGGACAGAAAGACCCCGUGGAGCUUUACUGUAGCCUGACAUUGGGUUUUGGUGCUUCAUGUACAGGAUAGGUGGGAGGCAGCGAACCACUGCCGCCAGGUAGUGGGGAGCCGACGGUGGGAUACCACUCUUGAAGCACUGAAAUUCUAACCCGAGUCCGUAAACCGGACUGGGGACCGUGUCAGGUGGGCAGUUUGACUGGGGCGGUCGCCUCCUAAAAGGUAACGGAGGCGUCCAAAGGUUCCCUCAGCGCGGUUAGAAAUCGCGCGUAGAGUGCAAAGGCAGAAGGGAGCUUGACUGCGAGACCGACGGGUCGAGCAGGGACGAAAGUCGGGCUUAGUGAUCCGGUGGUCCCGAGUGGAAGGGCCAUCGCUCAACGGAUAAAAGCUACCCCGGGGAUAACAGGCUUAUCCCGCCCAAGAGUCCACAUCGACGGCGGGGUUUGGCACCUCGAUGUCGGCUCAUCGCAUCCUGGGGCUGAAGUAGGUCCCAAGGGUUGGGCUGUUCGCCCAUUAAAGCGGUACGUGAGCUGGGUUCAGAACGUCGUGAGACAGUUCGGUCCCUAUCCAUCGCAGGCGGAGGAAACUUGAGAGGAGCUGUCCCUAGUACGAGAGGACCGGGAUGGACAGACCGCUGGUGUACCAGCUGUCCCGCCAGGGGCACCGCUGGGUAGCCAAGUCUGGAUGGGAUAAGCGCUGAAAGCAUCUAAGCGCGAAGCCCACCUCAAGAUGAGGUUUCCCAUGGCAAAAGCCAGUAAGACCCCUGGAAGACGACCAGGUAGAUAGGCCAGGAGUGUAAGGGGGGUAACCCCUUGAGCGGACUGGUACUAAUCGGUCGAGGGCUUGACCAU